UUAAAACAUGGAGGUCUGGUGGUUCGGAGUGUUUAUUAAAACAUGUCUGUCUGGUGGUUCAGAGUGUUUAUUAAAACAUGGAGGUCUGGUGGUUGAACAGAGACGUGGGGCUGUUCCAGACCGCAGGAUCAACCAGUUAGCCGACUAACAAACGCUCUAAAUAAUGUCAGAGACUUGACACUGGCAUCAUGGCAAUAACGUCAAGGUAUACCUGGCAUCAUGGCAAUAACGUCAAGGUAUAACUGGCAUCAUGGCAAUAACGUUAAGGUAUACCUGGCAUUGGGGCAAUAACGUCAAGGAUAACCUAGCAUCAUGGCAAUAACGUCAAGGAUAACCUAGCAUCAUGGCAAUAACGUCAAGGAUAACCUAGCAUCAUGGCAAUAACGUCAAGGUAUAACUGGCAUCAUGGCAAUAACGUCAAGGUAUUCCUGGCAUCAUGGCAAUAACGUCAAGGUUAACCUACCAUCAUGGCAAUAACGUCAAGGAUAACCUAGCAUCAUGGCAAUAACGUCAAGGUAUAACUGGCAUCAUGGCAAUAACGUCAAGGAUAACCUAGCAUCAUGGCAAUAACGUCAAGGAUAACCUAGCAUCAUGGCAAUAACGUCAAGGUAUAACUGGCAUCAUGGCAAUAACGUCAAGGUAUACCUGGCAUCAUUGUAUUGUAACUGACUUGACAACCAUAUUCAAGUUCAGCUUUAUAAAUAUAUCAGUAAAUCAAGAACUAUAUUUUACCCCUAAUAAGAGUUAUCUGGCUUAACUUACUGAUCCUGCUUUUGCAACAGCUCAGUGUUCUGAUGUUCAACUCUACUGCAAAAACAUUCUCCUCUGUAAACAAUACAAAACAUAAUUCAUUCUUAAUUCUAAAUAAAAACCUUUAAAACCAAGCAUGUCCUUCAUAAGGCACAGUUCUCAAAGGAUUUAGUAACAGUGUGUUCCUCAGCAACACCUCGCUAGGUCCUUUAGUAACAGUGUGUUCCUCAGCAACACCUCGCUAGGUCCUUUAGUAACAGUGUGUUCCUCAGCAGCACCUCGCUAGGUCCUUCAGUAACAGUGUGUUCCUCAGCAACACCUCGCUAGGUCCUUUAGUAACAGUGUGUUCCUCAGCAACACCUCGCUAGGUCCUUUAGUAACAGUGUGUUCCUUAGCAACACCUCGCUAGGUCCUUUAGUAACAGUGUGUUCCUCAGCAGCACCUCGCUAGGUCCUUUAGUAACAGUGUGUUCCUCAGCAACACCUCGCUAGGCCCUUUCUUAAAUGGAAGAAAUUUGGAACAACAAACACUCUUCCUAGAGCUGGCUGGCCAGACAAACUGAGCAAUCGGGGGAGGAGGGUCUUGGUCAGCGAGGUUACCAAGAACCCGAUGGUCACUGACAGAGCUCGUCUGUGGAAAUGGAAUAAUCUUCCAGAAGGAUAAACAUCUCUGCAGCAGUCCACCAAUUAGGCCUUUAUGGUAGACUGGCCAGACGGAAGCCACUCCUCAGUAAAAUGCACAUGACAGCCCGCUUAGAGUUUGCCAAAAGGCACCUAAAGACUCUCAGACCAAGAGAAACAAGAUUCUCAGGUCUGAUGAAACCAAGAUUGAACUGUUUGGCCUGAAUGCAAAGCAUCAUGUCUGGAGAAAACCUGGCACCAUCCCUAUGGUGAAGCGUGGUGGUGGGAGCAUCAUGCUGUGGGGAUGUUUUUCAGGACUAAUCAGGAUCAAGGCAAAGAUGAACGGAGCAAAGUACAGAGAUCCUUGAUGAAAACCUGCUCCAGAGUGCUCAGGACCUCAGACUGGGGCAAAGGCUCACCAUCCAACAGGACAAUGACCCUAAGCACACAUCCAAGACAACGCAGGAGUGGCUUCGGGACAAGUCUUUGAAUGUCAUUGAGUGGUCCAGCCAGAGCCCAGACUUGAACCCAACAUCUCUUGAGAGACCUGAAAAUAGGUGUGCAUCAACGCUCCCCAUCCAACCUGACCGAGCUUGAGAGGAUCUGCAAAGCAGAAUGGGAACAACUCCCCAAAUACAGUUGUGACAAGCUUGUAGCGUCAUACCCAAGAAGACUUGAGGCUGUAAUCGCUGCCUAAGGUGCUUCAACAAAGUAUUGAGUAAAGGGUCUGAAUACUUAUGUAAAUGUGAUAUUACAUUUUUUUUUUUUUUUUGCAAAAAUGUCUGAAAACCAGUUUUUGCUUUGUCAUUAUGGGGUAUUGUGUAUUUUUUUUAAAUCCAUUUUAGAAUAAGGCUGUAACGUAACAACAUUUGAAAAAAGUCAAGGGGUCUGAAUACUUUCCGAAUGCACUGCGUGUCCUUUAGUUCCUCAGCAGCAGCAGUUGAAGUCGGAGUUUUACAUACACAUUAGCCAAAUGCAUUUAAACCCUGACAUUUAAUCCAAGUAGAAAUUCCCUGUUUUAGGUCAGUUAGG
ensembl:lncRNA